ensembl:lncRNA
UUUUCAUAAGAGUUUGAGGCGUUUGAUUAAUCUGACCACAUUUUAUUGCAUUAAUGAUUUUUUUUCCCUUCCACUCUGCUGUAAAGACAUUGUAUACAGGCUAAUGCUGUUUUCUCUCCCCUCACUCUCAUUCAUCCUCAACCGUUAUUGCAAUGCAUUGUUGAUGAGGUGAGUCGGAGUCUUAUGUGCUUUCACUCCUAAAGUCAUUCCUAAUGGAGUGGAAACCUUAUAUUUUGUUUCCUAAUGAAGCACAGGAGUGGCAGACAGCUCCGCUUGGGCUGUCCUGUGGCUGCCUGCAGGUUGAAGCCAUCGGCCCGAGCCAAGCUGCUCUGAGGGAGCCAGCAGGGGAUGUUGGGCCGCGGCAGCAGACCGCUUACACAUGAACUUAUGCACAGGCUGAGCAAGUCUGAGGACAUCGAUCCAAAAAUGUCUGAUGGUAGAGGAAGUAUUCCCGAUAUGUGCCUUAGUAAAUAAUCAUUUAAAAAUCCUACAAAGAUAGGCAUCAAAAAUGUUGACGCAAAAAAAAAUAUAUAUAUAUAUAUAUAUAUAUUGUUUAAAAUAUGCAAUUUAAUAACUAUAAUUACUUUAUAGUUUACAAACAUCUGAAAAUAAUAAUUGUGUCUUUGUUAUGUUGAGUUGAGUACACGAGAGAAGUUUCUGUUGGUGGCAAUCAGCAACCUCAUCGCUAUGCUGCAAUAUCUCCACGUUAGAGAAGAACAGCAUCACUCUGAUAACUGUACGAUGAGCAUGAAGCUACGGCACAAAGACUGGAAACCAUGGGAAACUGCUAGCCUGGCUUUCAUUUGCAAAGGUCACUGUGUAACGGUUACUAAUUGUGGAGUCAUCGAGUAGGGGAGGAGAGGGGGCCUAAGCACAUUUUAAACAUAUGGCCUCUGUCCUAUUGUUUAUUGAUGUCGGUAAUUAAUGAUAUAAUGCACGCCACUGAAGUAGUUUGACCUCUGAACCGAUCAUUAUUCAGAAUGUAGCAGCAUCAAUCAAGCUGUGCUUUUCUCACAUGUAUUUCUGUACACCCCCUGAGGGACAGGCAGGGCACCCACUGUAUCCUCAUUUGUAUUCAGCUGACCAAGACCAUAUAUGAAUGAUUUAGAAGUGCGUAUCAGACGUGGACUGAAGGGAGAAGCGGUAAUAUGAGAUUUUACAAGCUCCUGCUAAAGUUGAUGAGGACUACGGCUUCUACUUCUGCGCCUCCAAACUCCAAAUAAAGUCAUUUUCUUUAUAGGAUCAUGGUGUAU